UACGUAGGGCGCAAGCGUUGUCCGGAAUUAUUGGGCGUAAAGAGCUCGUAGGCGGUUUGUCGCGUCGACUGUGAAAACCUACAGCUUAACUGUGGGCUUGCAGUCGAUACGGGCAGACUUGAGUUCGGUAGGGGAGACUGGAAUUCCUGGUGUAGCGGUGAAAUGCGCAGAUAUCAGGAGGAACACCGAUGGCGAAGGCAGGUCUCUGGGCCACUACUGACGCUGAGAAGCGAAAGCAUGGGGAGCGAACAGG
rnacentral:rRNA from 1 species